rnacentral:rRNA from 1 species
AACAAGGUAGCACAAGGGAAGUCGGCAAAAUCGAUCGGCAACUUCGGGAUAACGAUUGGCUCUAAGUGCUAGGGUGUUCGGGCUUUAUGAUAAAGCAGUAGACUUGCCAUUGGAGCUGUAAACUUUUUGGCUGCAGCAAUGUAGCUGAUCGUUCGGACUAGUGACUUGUCUUGCUGUGGAAUCGUUUUGCUACGGUAUGCGGUUCGUUCGCGGAUCGUAUUACUUCGGGCAUCGUUUAAUAGCAAACUUAGAACUCGCUGCGUCUAGGGGAAUCCGACUGUCUAAUUAAAACAGAGCUUUGCGAUUGGCCGGAAAACUUGGUGUUGACGCAAAGUGAUUUCUGCCCAGUGCUCUGAAUGUUAACGUGAAGAAAUUCAAAUAAGCGCGGGUAAACGGCGGGAGUAACUAUGACUCUCUUCUGGUAGCCAAAUGCCUCGUCAUCUAAUUAGUGACGCGCAUGAAUGGAUUAACGAGAUUCCCACUGUCCCUGUCUACUAUCUAGCGAAACCACC